UACGUAGGGGGCAAGCGUUGUCCGGAAUCAUUGGGCGUAAAGAGCGCGUAGGCGGUCCGGUAAGUCCGCUCUGAAAGUCCGGGGCUCAACCCCGGGAGGCGGGCGGAUACUGUCGGGCUAGAGUCCGGAAGAGGCGAGUGGAAUUCCUGGUGUAGCGGUGAAAUGCGCAGAUAUCAGGAGGAACACCCGUAGCGAAGGCGGCACUCUGGGCCGAUACUGACACUGAGGAGCGAAAGCGUGGGGAGCGAACAGG
rnacentral:rRNA from 1 species